rnacentral:rRNA from 1 species
GUGCCAGCCGCCGCGGUAAUACAGAGGUCCCGAGCGUUGUUCGGAUUCACUGGGCGUAAAGGGUGCGUAGGUGGUGGGGUAAGUCGGAUGUGAAAUCUCGGAGCUCAACUCCGAAAUGGCAUUGGAAACUACCCCGCUAGAGGAUUGGAGGGGGGACUGGAAUGCUUGGUGUAGCAGUGAAAUGCGUAGAUAUCAAGCGGAACACCAGUGGCGAAGGCGAGUCCCUGGACAAUACCUGACACUGAGGCACGAAAGCUAGGGGAGCAAACAGGAUUAGAUACCCUUGUAGUCC